AUGAACGCUGGCGGCGUGCCUAAUACAUGCAAGUCGAGCGAACAGACGAGGAGCUUGCUCCUCUGACGUUAGCGGCGGACGGGUGAGUAACACGUGGAUAACCUACCUAUAAGACUGGGAUAACUUCGGGAAACCGGAGCUAAUACCGGAUAAUAUAUUGAACCGCAUGGUUCCAUAGUGAAAGACGGUUUUGCUGUCACUUAUAGAUGGAUCCCCGCCGCAUUAGCUAGUUGGUAAGGUAACGGCUUACCAAGGCAACGAUGCGUAGCCGACCUGAGAGGGUGAUCGGCCACACUGGAACUGAGACACGGUCCAGACUCCUACGGGAGGCAGCAGUAGGGAAUCUUCCGCAAUGGGCGAAAGCCUGACGGAGCAACGCCGCGUGAGUGAUGAAGGUCUUCGGAUCGUAAAACUCUGUUAUUAGGGAAGAACAAAUGUGUAAGUAACUAUGCACGUCUUGACGGUACCUAAUCAGAAAGCCACGGCUAACUACGUG
rnacentral:rRNA from 1 species